AUGGUUUAUAGUAUUUCUUCUUAUGAAGAAAGAAAGAGCUGCUGUAGAAAAGGAGACGGAGCAAUUCGGUGCUCGAGCUCAGCUAGUCCCGAAAUCGCUGGCAUCCGUAGCUGCGUUGGGAUCGUAACAAUUCGUGCUGGCAUGUCAGAACGUUGCGGGCAAAUAAUGAGGAUACGGCUGCUAUACGGUACGAAACAGUGCGACCGGUGGGCCAAUUCAGUAGGGACGGAUGCGACUGAAUCAUGCGGGCCUUUCUGUGCCGUGGACCAGGAUGCACGCGAAAACCCGAGUCGUCGUUUUCCUUUGCGCCCGCAUGCUUUGACGCGAGCUAUGCAGCAGAUCCCGGAUGGCUUCAGCAAGGAGAGUCGGAGACAUCGGCGGUCGCCUGGUGCACAACUGCUCUGCCCGACAAGCUGGCUGGGCUGUGAAGGAGGUGGCAUGGCGGUCCACAGGAGGUUGCUCGUGCACGUGCACGAGGUUGAGGCCGCCGGAUACGGUUUCAGGGAGUAG
rnacentral:rRNA from 1 species